AUGGGCGACGAGGAUAGCGCAUACUAUCUCCUGGAGAGCAGGUUACGCGAUCCAAGCGCUGACCCGACUGAUCUACCCUUGUCACUCUUCAAAUCAAUCACCAAUAAUUUUUCCGAUAAAGAAGUAAUCGGUAGCGGAGGAUUUGGAGUGGUUUACAAGGGAGUGCUUCCCAGUGGAAUAUUUGUUGCUGUGAAGAAACUUUCCGACGCUUUAGUUGAAGACAAGUUGUUUCAGGACGAGGUUGCUUGUCUCAUAAGGGCCAAGCACAGAAAUAUAGUUCGGUUACUUGGCUAUUGUGCAGACACACAAGGAAAAAUUACAGAAUACAAAGGGGAGCUCAUAAUGGCGAAAGUACGAGCAAGGCUGCUAUGCUUUGAGUAUGUAUCUGGAGGUAGCCUGGACAUGCACCUUGAAGAUGAAUUUUGCGGGCUUGAAUGGCAUCAACGCUACAUAAUAAUUAAGGGAAUUUGUCAUGGCUUGCGCCAUCUUCACGAGGAACAGAAAAUUAUCCAUAUGGAUCUCAAGCCUCAGAAUAUAUUGAUGGAUCCUAAUAUGGUACCAAAAAUUACAGACUUUGGAUUGUCAAGACUUAUUGGCAUACAACAAAGUCGUAUUAUCACCAUGAACAAUUUUGGAACACUGGGUUACAUGGCACCAGAGUACUCCCACCAUGGAACCAUCAAGUUCAAGUCAGACAUAUACAGUCUGGGCGUAAUACUUCUAGAACUUAUAACAGGAACAAGGAUGCCACCCAAUAUUGAAAAUGUGCACAAAAACUGGAAGAACAGGCUGCAGGAAACAUUAAGCUAUUCAUCAGUUGAAGCAUCCUACAAACAGGUAAAGAGAUGUGUCCAAGUAGCACUCAACUGUAUGGAAACUGACAGUGAAAAACGACCCAGUAUAGGGGAAAUUGUCAAGAUACUAAAUGAAAUUGAAACUGGUUACGAAGAAGAUGAAACACCAACAUCCACUCAGCUGCUUUGCAUCCACCCCCUGGAGCUCCGGUUCCCUUUUAAGCCAAAUCACUCGAUCACCUGCCCAUUGCACCUAACCAAUAAUACAGAUCACCGAGUUGCCUUCCGGCUCCAGCCGGAGAGACUGGAGAGGUACUUCACCGAGUGGCUAUGUGGUGUCGCUCCCCCGAGGUCUACUUACACCCUCAUCGUGACGAUGAGAGACCGGCAGCAGUCACUGCCAGCCACGGAUGAGUUUCUGAUCGAGCAGAGCAGGCUAAGGGGGGAGACCGAGCUUAAGGAUAUCAGCCAAGGAAAAGCCGAAACCGAGUAUGACAAUUUCUUUACAGAAGUUAAAGAGAAGGGCGUUGAUCCAGUUCUUGAGCAAACGUUGACAGCUGUAUGUGACCCAGAAGGAAAUAUAACCGCUGAGAUCAUAUCGACAGUGGAUUUUGAUAAAAUGGUUUCCAUGGAUGUACAUCCCACGAAGCCAUGGAUUAUAACAAGCCAUUUCAAUGGUCACAUAUGCAUUUGGAACUACCAGACAAAGGAAAUGGUUAACUCAUUUGAAGUCACGAAGGAACAAGAAGUUUUGACGGCUAAAUUUAUUGCCCAGAAGGAAUGGAUUGUGGCUGGUGGUGGCGAUGGUCGCAUUUAUGUUUACAGUUAUAAUACAAUGAAGAAAGUCAAGGUUUUCAAAGCUCUCAGCGAGCAGAUCACUUCUUUGGCUAUUCAUCCAACCAAGCCUUAUGUACUUUCAGCAUCCUAUGACUUCGUAAUUAAGCUGUGGGACUGGGAAAAUGGCUGGAAGUGCACUAGGAUAUUUAAUGAAGAGCACUCCAGUUCUGUGAUGCAAUUAGUAUUUAACCCCAUGGACCCUAAUGCUUUUGCUAGUGUUUCCAUGGACAAGACAAUUAAGAUUUGGAGUGUUGAUUCUCCCCAUUCUAACCUCACAUUGGAUGGCCACUCAUCCAAUGUAAGAUGUUUGGAUUAUUUUACCCAUGGUGGUAAGCAAUACUUGUUUACAGGAUCCGAUGAUGGGACUGCCAAGAUUUGGGACGUGCAGAAAAAGAUAUGUGUUAAAACACUCGUAGGGCAUGCAAAUAGAGUCAGUACCGUCUAUGCCCAUCCCCAGCUUCCAAUACUGAUGACAGGUUCACGUGACGGGACUGUUCGUCUUUGGAACACAAGUACUUUCAGGCUUGAGCGCAUACUUAACUUUGGCCUCAGAAAAGUUCAUGCACUCGGAUGUAUGAAAGGCUCAAGAAGGGUUGUGAUCGGGCACAGCUAUGGAUUAGCUACUAUGGAGAUUUGA
rnacentral:rRNA from 1 species